UACGUAGGGAGCAAGCGUUGUCCGGAAUCAUUGGGCGUAAAGCGCGCGUAGGCGGCCCUGUAAGUCCGUUGUGAAAGUCAAAGGCUCAACCUUUGAAAGCCGAUGGAUACUGCAGGGCUAGAGUCCGGAAGAGGCGAGUGGAAUUCCUGGUGUAGCGGUGGAAUGCGCAGAUAUCAGGAGGAACACCGAUGGCGAAGGCAGUGGUUUGGGCCGGCACUGACGCUGAAUAGCGAAAGCGUGGGUAGCGAACAGG
rnacentral:rRNA from 1 species